rnacentral:rRNA from 1 species
UACGUAGGGGGCAAGCGUUAUCCGGAUUCAUUGGGCGUAAAGCGCGCGCAGGCGGGCCGCUAAGCGGGACCUCUAAUCUUGGGGCUCAACCUCAAGCCGGGUCCCGAACUGGCAGCCUCGAGUGCGGUAGGGGUAAGCGGAAUUCCCGGUGUAGCGGUGGAAUGCGCAGAUAUCGGGAAGAACACCGAUGGCGAAGGCAGCUUACUGGGCCGACACUGACGCUGAGGCGCGAAAGCUAGGGGAGCGAACAG